UUUUUUUUUUUUUUUUUUUUUUUUGAACUGUCCUAUGGCUGUGCCCUCUGCUCCCAAACCUAGGGGCCCACAGUUUAGGCCCUAGGUCCCCAGCAGGUCAGUGACAAGAAAGUCACAGCCUCUGGAGGCCACUAAGGAGACCAUGCCAAGUCACUGCCUGUGCCCAGGGAGGCCCAGCAUGAGUGAGGGUAUGGACUGAAUGGGCAGCCUCCCAGCUGGAGGCCUGCUCGGACUCCAGUGAGCCAGGGGCUUCUGGAAGAGGCCACAGGCAACGGAUGGGGACCCUUUCCGGAACUGCUUUGUUUUGGGGACUCCUACAUUCUGUUUGAUGACCACUGGGGUUUUUUUGGGGGGGGGAGGUGUGUGGAGUUAGCCAAUAGGAUAGAGCCGGGGUACCGGUAGAGAGCAUGGGCAGAGGGUGGGAAGCAGCCUGUGUCAGAGGAAGCCAAACGAGCCAUCCAGGCCUUCAGAACCUCAGCUCCUGUAGAGUCGUGGGCACCACAGUAGGAAUGGGGACCUGACUUUCCCCCUGCCCACGGAGACUCUCUAAAGGAUCCUUUUCUGUACCCCCCAAUCCCUCUUCCAGGUCAGGGUUAGAGGCGGGUGGGUUAGCUCAUGCUGGCAAUACUUGAAACGGGUUUAUUAAUGCUGGGUAUUUUGCACAAUUUUAUAGACUUCUUUUUUACAUAGCCCUUUAAAAAUAGGAGUUAAUGUGUUACUGUCCGUGUAGUGCCAAGGCAAGGGUUUUCAGAAGGCUAGGUAGUUGAAUACACUUAUUAUAGCAGAUCUAGCUGUGAGGGACUGUGUGUAUGCUCACACAUGUGUCCAUGUAUGCCUGUGACAGAUACAGCUGACUCACGUGUCCCCUGGGCUGUUCCCUUUCCCCAUUGCCCUGAGUCCAGAAGCAGCCCACUGUAUGGGGGACUGGGUGGGAGGAUGGGCUUUAGUCCCAAGAUGGAGACCACUGGCUCCUGCCCUCCUGCCUUCCACCAAGGCCUUUAAGACUCUGCCACCCAGCCCUCAGGCCAGGCUCCCAGCUGUGACCUGCCCCAACAGGCUGAGGCUAGGUGUGGUGGGUGGGGUGAUGGCUCUGGGGAGCGGCUGCCCUGCAAGCCACACCCCCUCCUAGGUGUUCUGCUUUGAGUGUAGGCCUCAGUGCUAGGGAUUGAACCCCAGAGCAUUUCUGCUAAUCAGGAAUGAGAGAGGAAGGGACAGAGUGGACCAGAGGCAUGUGUGCUUGUCCAGAAGCCUGGAGGAUGGCCUUCUGCUGGCAGCUGUAGUUUCUAAUCGAAAUAGUCCUGUUCUCCUUGGCCCUUCGGGUGGGCUGAAGCCCUUGUGAGUCAUAACAUAGGAAGUCACUACAGAGUCCCUUCCUUGCUCCCAAGGCCAGUGGGUCCCUGGAAGAGCUGGGAAGUGGUGGGUGCCAGGGGGCCCCUGGGAGAUGGCUUCAGAGCCCUGGGCCAUCCUGAGUGGCCCUGGGAGGUAGAUAGGAAGGGGCUGGGAGGCUCCCUAGCUCACCUUUUAUUUGAGCCAGUAUUCCUUGCUCCUGCUUGUAAUAAAGCCUCUUGUUUUUAAGAGCUG
rnacentral:lncRNA from 1 species